CAUUGGCAUGGGGGAAAGAUCCAGCAGCAAUGGGGAUCUCCAAUGCAACAUACUACGCUGCUGAAUAGAGUGGCUCUGAUUAAGCCAUACCACAUCGUGAGAAACGUCGCUUCGCAAGGGUGUUACAUUCUGAAUUUCCCCCUACUUUGAUCCCUGCUCAUUGGCCCCUUUGAUCUCUAAACAGGAUGUACAAGGUUCACUAAU
rnacentral:lncRNA from 10 species